UACGAAGGGGGCUAGCGUUGCUCGGAAUCACUGGGCGUAAAGGGCGCGUAGGCGGCCGAUUAAGUCGGGGGUGAAAGCCUGUGGCUCAACCACAGAAUUGCCUUCGAUACUGGUUGGCUUGAGACCGGAAGAGGACAGCGGAACUGCGAGUGUAGAGGUGAAAUUCGUAGAUAUUCGCAAGAACACCAGUGGCGAAGGCGGCCAACUGGACCAAUACUGACGCUGAGGCGCGAAAGCGUGGGGGAGCAAACAGG
rnacentral:rRNA from 1 species